rnacentral:lncRNA from 1 species
CACCUUCUCCAUGCAACAACUCAUUCCCAACCAAAAUUUCUCACGCCUCCUACCAAUUUUACAUGCCCAUCAACAAGCCAAGGACAUAUGGCAAACAUCAGAAAAGAGUCCAAGAGUUGCUUCGCACAAAAAGACUCUUUGGAGAAACUUUUUUGAUGUUUUUUCGAGAAGUCACGAGGCUUCAUUUGGACAGCAUUGUUCUCCACCCU